rnacentral:lncRNA from 1 species
UAAAUAUUACAAACUUAUAAGCAAAUGAAUGCUUAAUUCCACAAUAUACAGAUCAUGCUGGAAUUUUGAUCUGGUCACUUUAACCAUUAUCGAGUUAUGCCCCUUAUAAAUGGAGAGAAAAUGCAAAAAAAAAUAGUUUCACUUCUCUAACUUAAGUUUGUCCCAACCAUUUCCCCAACCAAGCAUAUUGAAACCUUUACACAAUACUUAUCACUACAAGCCUUCGAUCUGACAUGUACAAAUUUGGGUAGCGUCACUUUUGUCGUUCUGGAGUAAUGUUCCUUUAUAAUGUUGUAUGCAGCGGGG